UCCCAAUCCCCUCGCAUCCCCAUACCUUUCUUCCUCCACUCCAGCUGCGUGUGCGAUUGGUUAGGGGCUCCGGUGAGCGAAGAUGUCGACGUGCGCGGCGGACCUUGCGCCGCUGCUGGGCCCGGCGGCGGCGAACGCCACGGACUACCUCUGCAGCCAGUUCACGGACACGGCCUCGGCGGUGGACGCCACGUACCUGCUCUUCUCGGCGUACCUCGUCUUCGCCAUGCAGCUCGGCUUCGCCAUGCUCUGCGCGGGCUCCGUCCGCGCCAAGAACACCAUGAACAUCAUGCUCACCAACGUGCUCGACGCCGCGGCGGGGGCGCUCUUCUACUACCUCUUCGGCUUCGCCUUCGCCUUCGGCACGCCCUCCAACGGCUUCAUCGGGAAGCAGUUCUUCGGGCUCAAGCACCUCCCCAAGACCGGGUUCGACUACCCCUUCUUCCUCUACCAGUGGGCCUUCGCCAUCGCCGCCGCGGGCAUCACGUCGGGGUCCAUCGCCGAGAGGACGCAGUUCGUCGCCUACCUCAUCUACUCCGCGUUCCUCACGGGGUUCGUGUACCCCGUGGUGUCCCACUGGUUCUGGUCCACCGACGGGUGGGCCGCCGCGAGCCGCACGUCCGGACCGCUCCUCUUCGGCUCCGGCGUCAUCGACUUCGCCGGCUCCGGUGUCGUCCACAUGGUCGGCGGCGUCGCGGGCCUGUGGGGCGCGCUCAUCGAGGGCCCCCGUAUCGGGCGCUUCGACCACGCCGGCCGCUCCGUGGCGCUCAAGGGCCACAGCGCGUCGCUCGUCGUGCUCGGCACCUUCCUCCUGUGGUUCGGCUGGUACGGGUUCAACCCGGGGUCCUUCACCACCAUCCUCAAGUCCUACGGCCCCACAGGCAGCAUCCACGGGCAGUGGUCGGCCGUGGGCCGCACCGCCGUCACCACCACCCUCGCCGGCAGCGUCGCCGCGCUCACCACGCUGUUCGGGAAGCGGCUCCAGACGGGCCACUGGAACGUGGUGGACGUCUGCAACGGGCUCCUCGGCGGGUUCGCCGCUAUCACCGCCGGGUGCAGCGUCGUCGACCCGUGGGCCGCCGUGAUCUGCGGGUUCGUGUCGGCGUGGGUGCUCAUCGGGGCGAACGCGCUCGCCGCGCGCCUCAGGUUCGACGACCCGCUGGAGGCCGCGCAGCUCCACGGCGGGUGCGGCGCGUGGGGGAUCCUCUUCACGGCACUCUUCGCGAGGAAGAGGUACGUGGAGGAGAUCUACGGCGCGGGGAGGCCCUACGGGCUCUUCAUGGGCGGCGGCGGGCGCCUCCUCGCCGCGCACGUCAUCCAGAUCCUGGUCAUCGCGGGGUGGGUGAGCUGCACCAUGGGCCCGCUCUUCUACGCGCUGAAGAAGCUGGACCUGCUGCGCAUCUCGGCCGACGACGAGAUGGCCGGCAUGGACAUGACCCGGCACGGCGGCUUCGCCUACGUGUACCACGACGAGGACCCCGGCGACAAGGCCGGGGUUGGUGGCUUCAUGCUCCGGUCCGCGCAGAACCGCGUCGAGCCGGCGGCGGCGGCGACCGGCAAUCAGGUGUGAAAAU
rnacentral:lncRNA from 1 species